GGGGGAUGAGUGUUUGGUGGAAGAGGUUGAGGAUAUUAAGUCACUGAUAAGUGGCAUGAACAAAGACAUCUCCGAAUUCAGACUUAACGUAAAAAUAGCAUACACUACGCCGAUUUGCUAACACCUUCAUCAACUUGCACGAUGCUCUAAGGCCAUAGAGAUCUUGGAAGGAGUUACUGGCCACACGUUCAGCCACCAACGCCUGAAUUUCUUCAGGAAUUUCAAGAAUCGGAAAAUAUUCCAUUUACUCUCAGAU
rnacentral:lncRNA from 1 species